GUUUACUCUUAAAUAAUUCGUGUGAGUGUAACCAUGCAGAUUUGUCCUUUUCUUCAGUGUCAAGUUCCCAAGGCUGGCUCACCCCGGGUAGCUCAGUUGGGACUUCUUCCUGUUUCAGGCUGAAACCCCAGACAGUUUGAGAGUGGAAGUCUCUCUGGUCAGGGCGUCCAGGACAGGGCACCCACUUCCAAGCUGACCCCGGCAAUGCUCACACACACACAGACACGGACACACUGCUCACACAUUGGAGGCUGGCUCAUGUUUAGCAAGGGCAGAGCUUAUACUGCUGUGCAGGUGGCGAGCCCAGGGGCUUCUGGGAGCUCCAGUGGCUCAGUUGGGAAAAGCCAGGAGCCACACGUGUGUGCUGUGUCCAGAGGCCGAAGCAGCUCUCUGGGGCUGGAUCGUUGCUCACCCCCAUGAUCCACAGGCUCCGUAGGGGCCACAGCAUGGGGAGGGUGAGCAGGCCACAGCCCACCAUCUCACCAGCCCUGUCCCUGCAGACCACGCACAAGGGCAAGUCCUCCUUCCAGACCUACUCGGACUACCUGCGCUGGGAAAGCUUCCUCCGGCAGCAGCUGCAGGCCUUCCCUGAGGGCUCUGCCCUGCGCCACGGCUUCCAGACCUGCGCAAGCACUGGAAACAGAUCUUCAUGGAGAUCAUAGGCAUCGUCUGCCUGGUGGGUGAGCAUCAUGUACUGGAGUGGGUGGGAAAUAGGCGCCGUGGAAGCCAUCUCCCUGUCCAUCCUGGUGCCGGCUCCUCUGUGGAUUACUGCGUGCACCUGGUGGAGGGCUACCUGCUGGCUGGAGAGAAUCUGCCCCCGCAGCAGGCCGAGGUGAGUGCCCUCUGCCUCCCCCAGGGCGCCACCAUAUCCUAGGCAGGCUGUGUCCUAGGGACUGCGGCCCCGGGACUCACAUGAUGCCAGCGCAGCCAGAGGGGACUGCGGGGCCCACGGCAGAUCUGUGUCCCUGGCCUCAGUCUCCCCAGAGUGCAGUGAGGGAAUGGGCCAGACACACCGUGAAUGCCGGCCCUUGCUGCCAUUCCAGCUGGACCCUGAGGCCACAAACCCCCUUCCGGCUCUCUGGGGCUCAUGUACUCAGAGCGAAAACCAGCUACGGGCCUGGUGGAGUUGUUUGUGGGUUUGCUUUUUCCUACUUUGGGAUUGAAUUGGUAUCAAAACAUUCAUAAACGUGUAAAAAUUAAGUCAGUUAUACAUUUCAUUGCUUUUGCCCCAAAAAACAAAAUAGAGCCAAGUGUGGUGUUCCAUGCCUAUGAUCCCAGCUACCAGGUGGCUGAGGCAGGAGGAUCACAAAUUCAAGGCCAGCCUGCACAACUUAGACCCUGUCUCAAGAUAUAAAAAGGGCUGGAGGUGUGGCUUGGUGGCAGAAUGUUUGCCUAGCAUAGCUGAGGCCCAGGUUUCCAGCCCCAGUACCACCCAACAACGUUCCCGUCAGGACCCCCAUUUCGGCAGAUGCCCCAGCAGCCGGCAGCGCUCGGCACACCUGCACCCUGUGAAGUCGCCCUGCCCUCGUCCACUUGCAG
rnacentral:lncRNA from 1 species